rnacentral:tRNA from 1 species
GUUAAUAUAGUUUAAAAAAACAUCAGACUGUGAAUCUGAAAAUAGGACAUUACAAUCCUUAUUAACC